AGCAAAUCACUGCUCCUCCCUUUACUGCAUUCGGGAUACAUGACAAGCAGAAAUUGAUGAAAAAAGGACAAAUCGAAGCUCCGAUAAGCCGAUUUACCGAUGAGAGUCAGCACCUCUAUCAAAAGAAUCAUUUUUCCGUCCAAGAAUCGUUCAUCUCCACAAAAAGACGAACAAAAAACUAUCCGACCUUCAAAUCCAUGAGCUUCUUCAACAAAUCUAUCUUUAAGAUGGAGUACGAGGGAUCUCAAUGAGGCUGUUACUGUGAACGCAUGGUAACCAUUUGAUACUGAAAGUUGCAUUUUUUGUAAUCUAUCCAUGUGUGAUGAGCUUCUUCAACAAAUCGAGCUUUAAGAUGGCGUACGAGGGAUCGUAAUGAGCCUGUUACUGUGAACACAUGGUAACCAUUUGUUAUUGAAAGUUACAUUUUUUGUAAUUAUUGGAGUUGAAAUGAAAUGAUAUGCAUUUAGAAAACUUACUUCCAAAAUGAAAUACAAGGAGGCUAUAUAAACAGCAUACGGGAACGGACCACAAGUCCAGCUGGUGUAACUAACUCUAACUAAACUAACUUUCCAACUGAUUGACUAACCAACUAACUAAUUUAUAUACAGGUUUCAUAUCUAUAUUUGCGGCUCUAAUACUCGCCCUCAAGUUGUACUGUAAAUGUUUUUGACAGACAUCUUGGACAAUAAAGAACUAAGUGCAACAGCAUGAAGUGGUUUAGUGAAGAUAUCUGCGAGUUGGUGUCGUGAUUGGAUUGGAAGAAGCUUAACUAGGCCAGCUGCAAUUUUAUCUCGAAUGAAGUGGCAAUCAAUCUCGAUAUGUUUGGUUCUUUCGUGAAAGAUGGGAUUGGUGGCAAUUUGGAUCGCCCUUGAUUGUCACAGAACAGAACAGCUGGAGAUGCUUCAGGAAUCUGAAAAUCUUUUAACAAUUGAGUGAUCCAAAUGAUUUCACUAACGGUGGCAGCAAGUGCACGGUAUUCUGCCUCAGCUGAAGACCGUGAGACCGUGGAUUGUCUUUUGGCUUUCCAAGAGAUCAGUGAAUCUCCAGUGAAUAUGCAGAAACCAGUGGUAGACUUUCUUGUGUCAAGGCAAGCACCCCAAUCAGCAUCUAAAAAG
rnacentral:lncRNA from 1 species